GGUCAGAUGGCCGAGUGGUUAUGGCGCCAGCUUCAGGUGCUGGUAUCGAAAGAUGCGUGGGUUCGAGUCCCACUCUGAUCA